rnacentral:rRNA from 1 species
CGGGACGGGUGAGUAACACGUGGAUAACCUACCUAUAAGACUUGGAUAACUUCGGGAAACCGGAGCUAAUACCGGAUAAUAUUUUGAACCGCAUGGUUCAAAAGUGAAAGACGGUCUUGCUGUCACUUAUAGAUGGAUCCGCGCUGCAUUAGCUAGUUGGUAAGGUAACGGCUUACCAAGGCAACGAUGCAUAGCCGACCUGAGAGGGUGAUCGGCCACACUGGAACUGAGACACGGUCCAG